UACGUAGGGUGCGAGCGUUGUCCGGAAUUAUUGGGCGUAAAGGGCUCUUAGGCGGUUUGUCGCGUCGGGAGUGAAAACAUCCAGCUUAACUGGGUGCUUGCUUUCGAUACGGGCAGACUUGAGGUAUGCAGGGGAGAAUGGAAUUCCUGGUGUAGCGGUGAAAUGCGCAGAUAUCAGGAGGAACACCGGUGGCGAAGGCGGUUCUCUGGGCAUUACCUGACGCUGAGGAGCGAAAGUGUGGGGAGCGAACAGG
rnacentral:rRNA from 1 species